GACGAACGCUGGCGGCGUGCUUAACACAUGCAAGUCGAGCGGAGCGGCGAACGGGUGAGUAACGCGUGAGUAACUGCACCCCUCUCUGGGAUAAAAGUUGGAAACGGCUGCUAAUACCGGAUAGUGGGGGAUGACUCGCGUCCUAUCAGCUUGUUGGUCGUGUAGUGGCCUACCAAGGCGACGACGGGUAGCCGGCCGUAGAGGGCGACCGGCCGCAUUGGUCUGAGGUACGGCCCAAGCUCCUACGGGGGGCAGCAGUGGGGAAUAUUGCACAAUGGGGGAAGCCCUGAUGCAGCAACGCCGCGUGCGGGAUGACGGCCUUCGGGUUGUAAACCGCUUUCAGCCAUGACGCGGUAGUGGCAGAAGAAGCACCGGCUAACUACGUGCCAGCCGCCGCGGUAAUUC
rnacentral:rRNA from 1 species